GGGAAACACAAGAAAAAAACAACGCCCCUUAACAUGGUUCAACGACACAUGACACCCCAAAAUUAACAAAACGUAGACACAACUCUCCAAACAAGUAGUGAUUCUAAGAGGAAGUGAAUUAAGUUGUUUCUACUUCAAGAAGUCAAUACUACAAACAUUUCAACACCUACAUUACCCCUGCAUUACAACCUCAUUACUAGUAUUAAAAAAAACCUCUAGCUCGUCAUACAAAGGAAAAUUAUCACACAUUUAAAGGUGUGGUUUUAUUGAAAUCCCAGACACCAAGGUAAUAUGACAAAAACUGAGCAAAGAUUCUCCAACAUGCAACUAUUGACUUCAAUCAGCAAAAGUUAUCAAUUGUUUUCACAUGUUUGUGGGUUGAUAAAUGUAUUGGUUAUGUUGGAGAUUCUUUGGGGAAGACUCUUUACUCUCAUGGUAUAACAUCCAACAUAGGAGUAUCCCCACCUGUGCCCGAGGGCAACUGCAGCUCUGAGUAGGGAAGGCAAAAUUUCAGGUAAGAUCACAUAGCAAAAACAGGCAUUAAAACAUAUGCAGCAAAGAUGUGUAUGCGUGUUUGUAGGUGGGGUUUUCAGCUUCGGUCCUCAUGAAUUGGUUGGAGCAUACACUUGCACGUUUUGCUGUUUGCUUCUAAAUUUUUCAAAUCCUUUUGGGUUUGGAGUCAUGUUUGUUUCUUCUCAAUUUCAUAUUCUGACAAUUGGUGCCCUUCAAUUGUAUACUAUGAACAAUUUUUUAAAAGAACAGUUGUUCUAAGGCUUGGUAACUCACUGCCUUGGUGUAUUCAGUAUACUUACAGGUGAGUGAAGAAUGAUGGGAAAGUGGUGGGAUGUACACAGACAGGUUGCCAUAGUAACCCCAGAGGAGCACCAGGAGGAUGAUGGGAUGAACACAGACAGGUUGCCAUAGUAACCAAAGAGGAGCACCAGGAGGAUGAUGGGAUGUACAGACAGGUUGCCAUAGUAACCCCAGAGGAGCACCAGGAGGAUGAUGGGAUGUACACAGACAGGUUGCCAUAGUAACCCCAGAGGAGCACCAGGAGGAAGAGGAGGGAGGGGUCAGAUGAGGUGAGGUGCGUGCAGGGAAACAGAAGAAAAGAACAAUGGUCACUAAAAGCCAUACCUGUAUAGAGCAGCUAUAUCUCAAAUACUAAUCAACUAUGUUUAAAGGUGUGCAAAAGACAAUAGAAAGCAAAAACACUGUCAGAACUCCGAACAAAGAGGAACUUCUAAUCCAAACAAAGAAACUUCUAACAGACAAAGGAUGCGGGUGAGGAAGUAGAAAUCAUGUCUUCACAGGAGAGGAGUACAGUGAUAAAUAUGUAUAUUGGACAUUUCUUGUAACUCUUGCAAAUUCUCAUGACAACGUUAUGAUCUGGAGUUUCAUCUAAAUGAAUUGGUUUUGGUCAAAUCUUGCAUGUAGUAGGCCAAACGUUUAAAUAACUACACUGUCGUAGGUCAACCUUUCGAACUACACUGUUCCCUCGCUGUCUAACAUUGACCAUCAAUCAGUUCAUCAUUUGCAAUGGUCCUGGUUGGCUGAGUGAAGCCCUGGUCCCAGUAGGCUUGAUAUUAAAGGAAACUAAAUGGUUAGGUUCAAAAGCCAAGUAUACUAUGCUAAAUAUACUCCAAAGUCCACUUCUCACUCAAGCGACACCAUUUUUUUCUAAAUUGUGACUCUUGUAGCUGUUUGAAGAUUGUGCUGUGAUGUUACAAGGCUGACCCAGCCCCUGCCAAAAUGUAAA